rnacentral:rRNA from 1 species
UGAAAAAGAACCUGAAACCGUGUACGUACAAGCAGUGGGAGCACGCUUAGGCGUGUGACUGCGUACCUUUUGUAUAAUGGGUCAGCGACUUAUAUUCUGUAGCAAGGUUAACCGAAUAGGGGAGCCGAAGGGAAACCGAGUCUUAACUGGGCGUUAAGUUGCAGGGUAUAGACCCGAAACCCGGUGAUCUAGCCAUGGGCAGGUUGAAGGUUGGGUAACACUAACUGGAGGACCGAACCGACUAAUGUUGAAAAAUUAGCGGAUGACUUGUGGCUGGGGGUGAAAGGCCAAUCAAACCGGGAGAUAGCUGGUUCUCCCCGAAAGCUAUUUAGGUAGCGCCUCGUGAAUUCAUCUCCGGGGGUAGAGCACUGUUUCGGCAAGGGGGUCAUCCCGACUUACCAACCCGAUGCAAACUGCGAAUACCGGAGAAUGUUAUCACGGGAGACACACGGCGGGUGCUAACGUCCGUCGUGAAGAGGGAAACAACCCAGACCGCCAGCUAAGGUCCCAAAGUCAUGGUUAAGUGGGAAACGAUGUGGGAAGGCCCAGACAGCCAGGAUGUUGGCUUAGAAGCAGCCAUCAUUUAAAGAAAGCGUAAUAGCUCACUGGUCGAGUCGGCCUGCGCGGAAGAUGUAACGGGGCUAAACCAUGCACCGAAGCUGCGGCAGCGACGCUUAUGCGUUGUUGGGUAGGGGAGCGUUCUGUAAGCCUGUGAAGGUGUACUGUGAGGUAUGCU